rnacentral:tRNA from 1 species
GCGGGAGUAACUCAGUGGUAGAGUGCCACCUUGCCAAGGUGGACGUCGAGGGUUCGAAUCCCUUCUCCCGCUCCG